rnacentral:rRNA from 1 species
AAUAGAUACCCGGGUAGUCCACGCCGUAAGCGUUGGGCGCUAGAUGUGGGGGGCCAUUCCACGGUUUCCGCGUCGUAGCUAACGCAUUAAGCGCCCCCGCCUGGGGAGUACGGCCGCAAGGCUAAAACUCAAAGGAAUUGACGGGGGCCCGCACAAGCGGCGGAGCAUGCGGAUUAAUUCGAUGCAACGCGAAGAACCUUACCAAGGCUUGACAUAUACGAGAACACUGCAGAAAUGUAGGACUCUUUGGACACUCGUAUACAGGUGGUGCAUGGUUGUCGUCAGCUCGUGUCGUGAGAUGUUGGGUUAAGUCCCGCAACGAGCGCAACCCUCGUCGCAUGUUGCCAGCACGUAAAGGUGGGAACUCAUGUGAGACUGCCGGGGUCAACGUCGGAGGAAGGUGGGGAUGACGUCAAAUCAUCAUGCCCCCGUUAUGUCUUGGGCUUCACGCAUGCUACAAUGGCCGGUACAAAGGGCUGCAAUACCGUAAGGUGGAGCGAAUCCCAAAAGCCGGUCUCAGUUCGGA